rnacentral:lncRNA from 10 species
UGUUCCCCGGCUAGGGCUCCGCCUUCGGGGACCUAGGUGAGGACAGGCAUUUCCUGCCCAAAUGUUGCAUUUCCCAAGACCACCCUGGCCCACCACGCCCCCAUCCUGGGCCUAUAAAAACCCAAGACCCUGGCGGGAAGACACAGAAGUGGUUGGGCGUCGUGAGGAACGCAUCGGCGGCAGAACACUCAAGCGGCUGGUUGUUGAGAGCACGCCAGCUGAAGAGCACCCCUGCACACUGGCAGGCCAUCCACAGGUGUCAGAAACUCAGCUCAGCUGGAAGAAACUUGAUGUACCAGGUAUCAGAGUAGCAAGUAAAGCCACAAGCCAAAAAUGAAAGAGAAUCUUUUAAGUGCUUAUCGUGAUGGUGUAAGUAAUUGUCCAAAAGAAACGCCGAUUCCUUCUGUUCCAUUUUUACCUGUGGAUUGUGGAUUGAAAUAACCAUUGGACCAUGAGGAGAGACUCUGAAGAGAGGCUAGUGAUAUGUGAUAUAAUACUCUUUUGUGACGUUGGACCAUGGCAGUGAGCCGCAGCUCCCAGUCAGCAAUGCGAUCCCAAGAAUAAACAACCGAUUCUUGACAGUGUCCUAUGUUGCCAGUCGAUUUUGUUCAACAGUAGGUACAUAUCACCUGUAGACCCAAAACAACUUCAAAUAGCCAUUUCCUUCACUGCUGUGAGCAGAUGUAGACAGAUAAGGAAAUGAAGGCACAAAGAAGUCAAGUGCUUUUCCAAUGCCAGAGAAGUAAGAGGUCAUACUGCUUGAGGCAUUGCCUGCUUUACUGGUUCCUGAUCUACAAUUUCAC